UACGUAGGCAGCGAGCGUUGUUCGGAGUUACUGGGCGUAAAGCGUGCGUAGGCGGUGUCUUAAGUUUGUUGUGAAAUCUCCCGGCUUAACCGGGAGGGUGCGGCGAAUACUGAGAUGCUGGAGUGCCGGAGAGGUAAGCGGAAUUCCUGGUGUAGCGGUGAAAUGCGUAGAUAUCAGGAGGAACACCUGCGGUGUAGACGGCUUACUGGACGGUAACUGACGCUGAGGCACGAAAGCGUGAGUAGCAAACAGG
rnacentral:rRNA from 1 species